AAUUUCUUCAAGGCAAUAGGCUGCGCAAGAGACUGGCAGUUAGGAGCCUCGUGCUCUUGGCUCACUUCAUAGCCAUCUAGUUCUGUGGCCUACCAGUUCUCAUCCUUUGAAUUCUUAGGUUAGACGAGAAGAUACAUGAGAUCUCUAAAUCUUCAGGUUUAAACGUAGAUGUCUUUCACUACACCAGAGUAAAUAGCUUAUUCAAUAUUCAUUUUAUGAUCGUUAUUGGACUUCGGCUUCCUACUGCCUUUCAAAUAGGCCAUCGCAAGAUUUUGUCCAGUAGUAACGCCAGCAUUCAUCCUUUAAUGUUCGUGCCCGUCUCCUUAGUGCUUGAUAGAAAGGAUGCACUUCUUAUGUUAGCAAUGCUUGUGGAGCCUUUGUGGUCAUUCUCAGACAUGCACAGAGUGGGGAAAAACAUUGAGUCACCUGGAAUCCACGUUCAGCUGAGGUUGAACCAGGAGAAGAGAUCGAAAUAUUGAUACUUCUGCAGAAAUGUGUCAUUCAUAUUGAAAAACAUCUGGACAGAAUCACUUCUUUGGGAGUGAAAGCAGUUUGAAAACGCAAUCCUGGAAUCAGGGCACUACGGGUAACCACAUUCUCACUUUACAAAUGAUAACUCACACACCCCAUGGAAGAUCCGGGAAGUCUUCUGAUGCCCCUGCUUUCCAAGACAAUAUGAUGCUUCUCUACAUUCCAUGGACUAUGACAAGUAUAUCAGUCGUCGAAGUGGGUGGUUUAAUGGCAUGAUUAGCUCCAUUUUCUCUUCCUGCAGCAUAGCAAAGUGCAUAAAGCUUGAGCUCUGUGUCCAGCAGAUCUUUAUUAGAAUUCCAGUCCCCCCACAGUUACAUAUGCUCUCUCCCUGACAGUUUUCACAGAUGAAUCAUCCAGACUCCAUUUCCUAUUAGAGCUGGACCCUCCACUUGGACUUUUGACACUUAGACCCCUCUAGCCCACACAGGGACAUCAGUGCAAUAAUUCUCCCCUUUCUACAGCAUCAUUAAAUUUUGCCUCUCUCCUGGAUCAUCCCAUUCACAUAUUCAUAUGCUGUUAUUUCUCCCAUCUAAAACUGACCAGGCACUGUGGCUCAUGUCUAUAAUCCUAGCACUUUGGGAGGCCAAGGCUGGCAGAUCACUUGAGGCUAGGAGUUUGAGACCAGCCUGGCCAACAUGACAAAACCCCAUCUCUACUAAAAAUACAAAAAUUAGCAGGGUGUGCUGCACUCCAGCUUGGGCGACAGAGCAAGACACUGUCUCAAAAUAAAUAAAUAAUUAAUUAAAAAUAAAAUUACUUUCUCCUGAUCCCAUAUUUCCUAUGAUUAAAAUGCCAUUUCUUUCUUCUUCUCUCUAUGAGUUCUUCCCAGAAGAGUUGUCUAUACCUAUUGCACCAACCCAUUUCUUCCAAUUCUCCAUAUUGUCGGUAUUUCCAGUUAUCCUUACCUCUCUCCCACACAGCCCCUAUCUAAUCUGGCAGAAAAUCCUGUUGACUCUACCUUCAAAAUAUAGCCAGAGUUCAAUACUUCUUACCAUCUCCGUGUCUACCACCCUGGUCCAAGCUACCAUCAUCUCUCAUCUGGAUAACUCAAUUACCAACUAACAGGCCUGUCUGCUGGUACAGUCUGUGCUCAAAACAGCAGCCGGAAGGAUUCUUUUCCAAAGUAAGCCAGGUUGCAGCCCUCAUCUUGCUGAGAGUUUAAUCAAAGUCCUUAGCAGUGUCCUGUGAAGCCCACAUAUCCUGACCCCUCAGACUCCUUUGACCUAUUUUCUACUUCCCUCCCCCUCGCUCACUCGGCUCUAGCUACAUGGCUUUUAUCCUGUGACCCCUUUGCUGGAAUGCAAGCUUCACAAGGCAGGGAUCUUUGUCUGUCUGGUUCACUCAUGUAUCCCAAGUACAGUUAGUCCUCCGUAUCCAUGGUUCCACAUCCGUGGAGAUGGAACGGUGGACUGAAAAUAUUUGGAAAAAAAAAAUGCAUCUGAGAAGGAGGGCAAGGGUUGAAUAACUACCUAUUGGGUACCAUGUUUACUAUUUGAGCAAUGGGCUCAUUAGAAGCCCAAAUCUCAGCAUCACAGAAUAUACCCAUAUAACAAACCUGCACAUGUACCAUCUGAAUUUAAAUUAAAAAUAAAAUUUAAAAAUAAAAAAUUUA